rnacentral:rRNA from 1 species
AUUUUGCAAUUUCCAACAAUUAGCUAUCCAUUUGGUGCGUUUUCAUGGAUGCCAGAACCAAGAGAUCCGUUGUAAAGUUUAAUCUAUUAAAUUUUUCAGACUGAUUGCAACUACAAAGGUUUAAAUGUGUCCAAUCGGCGGCACCCGUCCGAGAAAUGAAGGUACUCAAAAGAACAUGGUAAGAGAUAGCAGGCAAAGCCUACAACUCUAGGUAAUGAUCCUUCCGUAUGUGAACCUGCGGAAGGAUCAUUACCUAGAGUUGUAGGCUUUGCCUGCUAUCUCUUACCCAUGUCUUUUGAGUACCUCGUUUCCUCGGCGGGUCCGCCCGCCGAUUGGACACAUUUAAACCCUUUGUAGUUGCAAUCAGCGUCUGAAAAACUUUAAUAGUUACAACUUUCAACAACGGAUCUCUUGGUUCUGGCAUCGAUGAAGAACGCAGCGAAAUGCGAUAAGUAGUGUGAAUUGCAGAUUCAGUGAAUCAUCGAAUCUUUGAACGCACAUUGCGCCCCUUGGUAUUCCAUGGGGCAUGCCUGUUCGAGCGUCAUUUGUACCUUCAAGCUUUGCUUGGUGUUGGGUGUUUGUCUCGCCUCUGCGCGCAGACUCGCCUCAAAACAAUUGGCAGCCGGCGUAUUGAUUUCGGAGCGCAGUACAUCUCGCGCUUUGCACUCAUAACGACGACGUCCAAAAAGUACAUUUUUUACACUCUUGACCUCGGAUC